CGCCAUUAACGCUCGUUUUCAGUGGUCCCCAACCCCCCAAAACGCUAUUUUCGUGUUGUUUUUCAAUCCAAAACUCAAUAUUCUUGGUAUAUUGAAGUGUAGGAACAAGUUUCUAAGGUUAGAUUUUGGAAUAGAGCGGCGCGGAGCUCAUUUUGAAAACUCAAAAACACCUUCAUUCUAGAUGGAUCACCACCCUCUUGAUCCAGGGCCCUUCGACCGAGAGUUACUAUAUCUUCAGCCCGAGCAUAGGUCGCAACAUAUAUGGACAUCCGACCUGCAGCCUGAGUCUCAGGUCCGUACCCGGUUAAGGGACUCAGCAUGGGAGAUCUUGGCUGCUCGCCCCCCACAUUCUCGUGUCUUGGAUAUACUACGUCGGGGCGGUAUCUACCGGUGCGUCAAAGUUGGUCGGGUACAGCACGAUAGGUCGCUAGUGACGGCAUUGAUUGAGAGGUGGCGACCGGAGACGCACACAUUUCAUCUCCGCACCGGUGAGGCUACCAUUACCCUUCAGGAUGUGGAGGUCAUUUAUGGGCUACAGGUUGAUGGACGCCCAUUGUAUAUUAAGGAGCCUCAUGUGCUGCCGCCUUACCUGGAUGAGUUGACUAGGCUCACUUGGUUUCGCGGCUCGGAUGGUCAUAUUUCCGGCCGCAGUGGCUUUUGUUGUCGACCCUUUAUGCUCACUUGCGCCUCACAGACAUGCAACAUCCGAUUGGAGAGGACACACCUCAGGCUGAUGUUGACCGACGUGCGCGUCUAUACCUACUCAUCAUAUUCGGGGCCAUCCUGUUCCCGAACACUUCGGGUUCGCAUAUGAGCUUGAGGUAUCUUCGGUAUAUCGACGAUCUCGCCGAGAUAGGAUGUUAUAGUUGGGGCGCUGCUAUGCUGGGCUAUAUGUAUCGAGGAUUCUGCCGAUGUUCUAUGGGCACGAGGGUAGAGGUCCCUGCAUUUUGCUCGCUCCUUCAGGUAAUAUAUUUAAGUGUGUGUAAUUAAACACAAAAUAUAUUUUUUUAAAACGACGACUGAUAAAAUAUUUUUUAAAUGACUAUAUCAUAUAUGGGUGUGGACUAGGUUGAGACCUUUUCAGCCCAUACCAGCUCACCCUCCCGCUGACUAUCUUACUGUGCCGAUGCCAUACGCGCGGAGAUGGUCGCGAGGCGUACGCCGACGUGCGGAGACGCACCACAGCCUUCUCCCGUUUAGGGAUCAGCUAGACCGCAUGACGGCGCGUACGGCUUUUAUAUGGACGCCGUAUGAUCAUAUUUUGGAUGAGUUCUGCCGGCGUUUUGUAGGGCUGGUCAGCACAUGUGGAUGUCGCGGUGUCCAUUGAUACAUAUGGAUAUCGUUGAGUAUCACGCGCCCGACCGCGUGUUACGGCAGUUUGGGUAUGUACAGAAUAUACCCGCGGCUACGGAUUGGGAGCAUGACCACUAUGUGAGGGACGAGCGUGCGGGCGUCGAUGAUGCAUGGCGACUCCAUAUGCAGCAGCAGGUCCAGAGUUGGGAUGUGAGGAUGACGAGCCUAGCGGUGGUCGGACAUGACACUCCGAUCCAUGUGUACAUGGAGUGGUA